GGUUGCGAUCAUACCAGCACUAAUGCACCGGAUCCAAUCAGAACUCCGCAGUCAAGCGUGCUUGGGCGAGAGUAGUACUAGGAUGGGUGACCCCCUGGGAAGUCCUCGUGUUGCAACCC
rnacentral:rRNA from 1 species